GAUGUGGUUUACUGAGGCUAUGAGACCCUAAAUGAAGGACCUGAGGAUUGAGCUGACUUCGUGCUCAUUCAUUAUACGUAUUAGGCUAAAAGAAAACAGACAAACAAAUGAUUAUGUCCAGUACAGCAGAUCAAAGAAGGAUCCUCAGAGAAAGUAUGGUGUGGACCAUCUUAUAGCAGGCUCAGUCUAAGUUUUCAAGGAGCCAGUCGGAGAAAAGCAGUAACUCUAGAGCCAUCCAGUGAAGUUGGUGACAGAAUAAUGGCUGCGAAGGCACUUCCCCAAGGGGAACAGUGAGAGAAAGCACAUUGCUGCAUCCUGUGGAGAUGUUCCAGGAUAUCUUCCACAGCAUUGUCCUGGAUGGCUUUAUUAUGAAUUGCUUGCAAGGCUAAAAGAGAAAAAAAAAAAUGUUUCAUGUGGCAUUUCCAUUUGCAACGCUGUUACAUCCAUUAGGAUGAAUGACACAUCAUGUCAUGGGUGGAUUCAUAGAAGAAGAAUUUUUAUCUUUAUGGAAAGAAAUUUGCUAAAUUAUCAGGAUAGGAUAUUGCCAAAUUACCUAAUAAUGAACUCUAUUUUAAAUGCGUCAGCCACAGAAAUAUUUAUAAAAGAGGAGAAAAUAGGUUCAGAGAAGACAUAAUGCCUUGACAAAAGUGACAUAAAAUGAAGAAAAGCCUUAAAGUUUCUAACACCUGUCAAGCCAAGAAGAGACAAUGAAUUCUCAAUGAUGAUAACAUUGACUGUCUAAAAUUGCCAGAUACUGUUCUAACUCCUGGAGAUACAGAAAUGAACCAGUUUCUUCUAUUGACAGAGUUUAUACUUUGGUGAGGAAGGUGGGAAGUACAAAAGACAACAAAUAAAUAACUAUUACACUUUGGAGGGUGAGUAUAA
rnacentral:lncRNA from 1 species